AGCGAACGCUGGCGGCAGGCCUAACACAUGCGAGUCGAACGAAGUCUUCGGACUUAGUGGCGGACGGGUGAGUAACACGUGGGAACGUACCUUUUGGUUCGGAACAACUCAGGGAAACUUGAGCUAAUACCGGAUGAGCCCUUAGGGGGAAAGAUUUAUCGCCGAAAGAGCGGCCCGCGUUAGAUUAGCUAGUUGGGGAGGUAAAGGCUCACCAAGGCAACGAUCUAUAGCUGGUCUGAGAGGAUGAUCAGCCACACUGGGACUGAGACACGGCCCAGACUCCUACGGGGGGCAGCAGUGGGGAAUCUUGCGCAAUGGGCGAAAGCCUGACGCAGCCAUGCCGCGUGAAUGAUGAAGGUCUUAGGAUUGUAAAAUUCUUUUACCAGGGACGACAAUGACGGUACCUGGAGAAAAAGCCCCGGCUAACUUCAUGCCAGCAGCCGCCGUAAUAC
rnacentral:rRNA from 1 species